rnacentral:rRNA from 1 species
CAAUAGCGUAUAUUAAAGUUGUUGCAGUUAAAAAGCUCGUAGUUGGAUUUCUGGUUCAGAUUGCCUGUCCCGGUCUUUCGGGACUGUGUUGACGGUGCGAUCUGUCCAUCCUUCUGGAGAACAGGUCUACCCUUUAUUGGCGUGGGCUUGCGAUUCAGAUCUUUUACUUUGAAAAAAUUAGAGUGUUCAAAGCAGGCUUACCGCUGUGAAUACAUUAGCAUGGAAUAAUAAGAUAGGACUUUGGUUCUAUUUUGUUGGUUUCUAGGACUGAAGUAAUGAUUGAUAGGGAUGGUUGGGGGUGCUAGUAUUAAAUGGCCAGAGGUGAAAUUCUUGGAUUCAUUUAAGACUAACUAAUGCGAAAGCAUUCACCAAGGACGUCUNCUUUA